rnacentral:rRNA from 1 species
UAGGGAAUCUUCGGCAAUGGACGAAAGUCUGACCGAGCAACGCCGCGUGAGUGAAGAAGGUUUUCGGAUCGUAAAACUCUGUUGUUAGAGAAGAACAAGGACGUUAGUAACUGAACGUCCCCUGACGGUAUCUAACCAGAAAGCCACGGCUAACUACGUGCCAGCAGCCGCGGUAAUACGUAGGUGGCAAGCGUUGUCCGGAUUUAUUGGGCGUAAAGCGAGCGCAGGCGGUUUCUUAAGUCUGAUGUGAAAGCCCCCGGCUCAACCGGGGAGGGUCAUUGGAAACUGGGAGACUUGAGUGCAGAAGAGGAGAGUGGAAUUCCAUGUGUAGCGGUGAAAUGCGUAGAUAUAUGGAGGAACACCAGUGGCGAAGGCGGCUAUCUGGUCUGUAACUGACGCUGAGGCUCGAAAGCGUGGGGAGCAAACAGG